rnacentral:rRNA from 1 species
CCCUUAGAUGUCCGGGGCCGCACGCGCGCUACACUGGAGGAAUCAGCGUGGCUUUCUCCCUGACCCGAAAGGGUUGGGAAACCCGUUGAAUCUCCUUCGUGAUAGGGAUUGGGGCUUGAAAUUGUUCCCCAUGAACGAGGAAUUCCCAGUAAGCGCGAGUCAUAAGCUCGCGUUGAUUACGUCCCUGCCCUUUGUACACACCGCCCGUCGCUACUACCGAUUGAACGGUUUAGUGAGGGCCUCGGAUUGGUCUCGGCCCGCUCUUUACCGGGCGGCGCCGUUGGUCGAGAAGACGCUCGAACUUGAUCGUUUAGAGGAAGUAAAAGUCGUAACA